AUGGACUAAACCUCUGAAAAUGUAAGACACCCAAUUAAAUGUUCUCCUUUAUAAGAGUUUCUGUGAUCAUGGUGUCUCUUCACAGCAAUAGAAACCCUAAUUAAGACACUGCUCUUGCAUAGGAUUGAAGCUCAAUUCUUAGUACCCAUAUAAGGUGCUUCAAGACCAUCUGUAACUGCAGCUGCUAAGGACUGAACACUUUCUUCUGGACUCUGAAGGCACUACUACAGAUGUGGAAUACACAUAAAUAAAAAAUAAAAAAUUUAAGGACUUGCUACUGGACUCAUCACCAAAAGCAAGAAUGUGCCGAGACAGACUGUCUGGUUAUAAGGAAGAUUGAAUUACAUCAGAUAACCUGCUAAGCCAUAGGAAGCACUUAAUACAUGGCAGCCACUUAUUAUCAGAUACUCACUCAGGCUUGAGGCCUGUUCCACGCCAGCCCUGCCCGCCAGGAAAGGAGAUAUUUACCCGAAGCACCAGCCUCAUGGAGAUGAGGCUGUCCAGGCCCGAGUGAUCCAGCUGGAAGCGCUGUUCAAGGGUGAGGUCGGCACAGGGGAGGAUCUGGCACAGGGGAAAUUCCAGCACUCCCAGAGCACACUCCAGGUCAUCAUCCAGCACCUGGGCAGUGAGCCAGUCACAAAACCAGGGGAGAGCUGAGCCCACUACGCCACCACUGCCAUCUGGCCCUGAUCUUUUGUAAAGACUCGAGUCUAGCCCAGGACCCUCCCACUGUGCAACCAUGAAGACCGCUGCAAGGAGAACUAGAGAGCUCCCAGCAUCCCCAGCGCCCAGCUUCAAGCAAACCUUCAGGCAGAGCUGCUCGGCUUCCACACUGUGCACGAAGAAGGAGAAAACCUGGCUCCACACCGGGUCCUUGCUGUGGGGGCAGGUCUGAGAACAGAGAGAGGUCAGGUACAGCCGGGUUCAACAUGCUCUGCUGUGUGUGACCACCACCGGCCGUGAGGAACCAGGGGACAGCCAGUGUGACAGGAGAAGCAUGCUUCAGACCAUGCCCCAACGUAAACCCUAAUUCUGCUGCCCCUUUCUUGGUGGAGUCACUUAGCUCUGUAGUUUUUAGGUUUUGAAUGAAAAGGCCACAUAGGGAGGGAAGUCUGAAGGCUUUCUAGGCAUUCAGGGUGGGAGUUCCCUUCACUAUUCCUCUCCUUAAAAAAGGGGUGGCAGUGCCAUUUCCUUACCUCAGGCCUAAACACGAACUGUCUUACCUUACUAGUAAAGGUCUUCUUGCCUACAGAUAGCUUGACAUACGAA